GCCUGGGUGGCUCAGUCGGUUAAGCGUCUGACUUCGGCUCAGGUCACGAUCUCACGGUUGGUGGGUUCGAGCCCUGCAUCGGGCU
rfam:Felis catus isolate Cinnamon breed Abyssinian chromosome B2, whole genome shotgun sequence.